UCGAGAGGCUUUGGCAAUGGGGGAAACCCUGACCAAGCGACGCCGCGUGGGGGAUGAAGGCUCUUGGGUUGUAAACCCCUUUUGUCGGGGAAGAAAUCCGAUCAGGUGAACAAUCUGGUCGAUUGACGGUACCCGACGAAUAAGCUCCGGCUAACUCCGUGCCAGCAGCCGCGGUAACACGGGGGGAGCAAGCGUUGUUCGGAAUCACUGGGCGUAAAGGGCGUGUAGGCGGCUCGGUAAGUGGAAUGUGAAAUGCCCCGGCUCGACCCGGGGACCUGCAUCCCAAACUGCCGGGCUUGAGUAUGGGAGAGGAUGAGGGAAUUCCUGGUGUAGCGGUGAAAUGCGUAGAUAUCAGGAGGAACACCGGUGGCGAAGGCGCUCAUCUGGCCCAAUACUGACGCUGAGGCGCGAAAGCUAGGGGAGCAAACGGGAUUAGAUACCCGGGUAGUCCCUGAGCGGGCUGGCAAGGCGCAU
rnacentral:rRNA from 1 species